GACGAACGCUGGCGGCGUGCUUAACACAUGCAAGUCGAGCGGUAAGGCCCUUCGGGUACGACGAGCGGCGAACGGGUGAGUAACACGUGGGUGACCUGCCUCUAGCUCUGGGAUAAGCCUGGGAAACUGGGUCUAAUACCGGAUAUGACUCCACGGCGCAUGUUGUGGGGUGGAAAGCCUUGUGUGGCUAGAGAUGGGCCCGCGGCCUAUCAGCUUGUUGGUGGGGUGAGGCCUACCAAGGCGACGACGGGUAGCCGGCCUGAGAGGGCGACCGGCCACACUGGGACUGAGACACGGCCCAGACUCCUACGGGAGGCAGCAGUGGGGAAUCUUGCGCAAUGGGCGAAAGCCUGACGCAGC
rnacentral:rRNA from 1 species